GGGCCGGUAGAUCAGUCUGGUAUGAUCGCCGCCUUCGCAAGGCGGAAGCCGCGGGUUCAAAUCCCGCCCGGUCCACCA
rnacentral:tRNA from 1 species